rnacentral:rRNA from 1 species
CCUACGGGAGGCAGCAGUGGGGAAUAUUGCACAAUGGGGGAGACCCUGAUGCAGCGACGCCGCGUGAGUGAAGAAGUAAUUCGUUAUGUAAAGCUCUAUCAGCAGGGAAGAAAAUGACGGUACCUGACUAAGAAGCCCCGGCUAACUACGUGCCAGCAGCCGCGGUAAUACGUAGGGGGCAAGCGUUAUCCGGAUUUACUGGGUGUAAAGGGAGCGUAGACGGCAGUGCAAGUCUGGAGUGAAAGGCGGGGGCUCAACCCCCGGACUGCUCUGGAAACUGUACGGCUGGAGUGCAGGAGAGGUAAGUGGAAUUCCUAGUGUAGCGGUGAAAUGCGUAGAUAUUAGGAGGAACGCCAGUGGCGAAGGCGGCUUACUGGACUGUAACUGACGUUGAGGCUCGAAAGCGUGGGGAGCAAACAGGAUUAGAUACCCGAGUAGUC